CGGCCGCCCCCAAACGGUAACAGCUCAAAAUGCUGUCCUUUUGCAUCAAUGUUAUUAUCCAUAAACCUCUCUGGGAGAAACACUUCAGGGUCUUUCCAGGUAUCGGGAUCACGCCCGAUAGCCCAUACAUUUACAUGAAGCCGUGUCUUGACAGGAAUUGUGUAGCCGUUGAUCUCGAAUUCAGACAUUGCUUCUCUUGGGAGGAGGAUAGGUGUUGGAGGGUGUAACCUCCACGUUUCUUUGAUCACCAUUUUGAGGUACUCAAGCUGAUCUGUGUCAUGGAAGCUGAUUCUUUCUUUGUUCUUGAUUUGGCUUCUGAUUUCAGAUUGAACUUUUUUCAUCACUCGUGGAUUCUUCGCGAGUUCUGCCAUCGCCCAUGUCAUGGUUAUUGCAGAAGUAUCGAUUCCUGCUAGCAGAACAUUCUGUAACAAGAACAUAUCAACAUUAAAUUUCAAAAUUUUCCUACAAUUGGAUUGUGAAUCUAUGGUUAGUUUACCAUCAAGAUUGCUUUGAUAUGGUUUCUAGUGAGCUUGUCAUUUCCAAGAACAGCUUCUUCUUUCUCCAACCUCAACAACAAGUCCACGAAGUCUUCACUACCUUCUUCCUUGUCCUGUUUAUGGAGAUCAAACAUUUGUUCAUAAAAGGCAUCAAGAUCUCUCAUGCUUGUCUCUCUCCGACCUCGCAAACCUGUAAGCCUGUCAAUGAUCCAUCCGACAUACGGAAUGAAAUCUGAAGCAGAAAAGCUUCCCAACAUCUCGAGCGCCUCACGGACUAUUUUAUUGAAUCUGUCACUGUUGAGGACAGUACCCUCAAAAUUCACACUAAACGCUGUCCUGCAUACUACACUUACAGUUAAAGCAAGAAAUGUCUUGUUCAAGUUAACCGGAGACUUCUGAGAGGCUGAUUCUGCGAUUGAAUAGAUCAGUUUCUUGACCUCCUCAUCCUUCAUGGGUUGAAUCGAGUGAACUUGUUUAGCAUUGAAGAGUUCCUGAACAGCGAGCUUCCUUACUUCUUUCCAGUAAUCAUCAUAAGGUGAGAAAGCUAUGUCCAGAUAGUUGUAAGAGAGCUCUCUUGGCCCUAAAGAAUGAAUCAAGAUUCAAGAAAUUCAAAAUUCAAGAUUCAAUAUUAUAAAAAGUGUUGAUCAAACUUGAUGAAACAUAAAGGCUUGAGGCCCAAGAAACUUAUAAACAAGUCGGUUUAUAAGUCGGUGUAUUUGUGAUCUUAUCUUAAAUGUGUUUAGGGUUAUGUUUUAGUAUAAAUAGAGGUGCCAAGUUUGUGGCUAACCCUAUGAGUUGUUUUGAGAUUAAGAAAGAUUGUGUAACCUUUGUUUUGAGUUAGUUUCAAAGGUAAUAAGAGGAGUGGUUCUUAUAAACACAAAGUCUUGAUCAUUAGGGUUUGAUUCUUAGUUCUUAAUUCAAUAAAAAGGUGAGAAAGCAAUCAAUCAAGAUUCAAGAUUCAGGAUUCAAGAUUCAAGAUUCAAGAUUCAAGAUUCAAGAUUCAAGGGUUUUGUUGAACAGAGGAACAGAAAUUUUAAAUUGUAGUACCUGCCAUGCCCGGACGACUACAACAAUGGAGGUCAUGGAUUUUCAAAGCUUGUUUUGCUGUUUCGGAGGUAGAAACUAUGACUGUUGGCACACUUCCAAGCUUCAAAAGCAUCACAGGAUCAUACUUUUUGGAGAGACUCCAUAGAGACUGAUGUGGUAAUUCUCCAAGCUGAUGCAAGUUUCCGAUGAUCGGAAAGCCUGGUGGAGACGGUGGUGUCCGUUGGUAAUUCCUCCGCUUCUUGUGGUUGAACACGGCUACAAUAAUACAGAUGAAGAAGAAAAGUGAGAGAAGCCAAAUGUUAGGCAUUUCUUAUUCUAUUGCAGCUAAAGGAACUCCAUAAGGGGUCGUCUAUAUUAUAUUACUGUCUUCAAUUAUUUUAAAUAUAUAUUCUCUGUAACGUUAACUUAAUUUUAUAUUCAAAAAAACUAUUUUUUGUCUUUGAAAAGUUGGCAGAAGUUAAUUGGAUAAUAUCAAGAACUAACCAUAGAAGACUCGAAGAUUAACUGACACUAUUAAACACUGUUUGGUCAAUGAUUUUUUAUUGUUUUUAAUUUGUUUAAUUUUCAUUCUUCUCUCUCCUUGCCUCUUUCUUGGACGAAGUGCUUCAUCAUGAAAUUGACAUGAACAAAAUUUUUAAUGGAGAAAUAAAAUAAAAUCAGAAUUAAACCAAAUUUCAAUAAACCAUUGUUGUGGAAAAAAGGUGAUCUAAACUCAACAAAUUAUUUAAUUAAGACAAAACAAACUCAACAAAAUCUCUUGCAUUUUUUUUUGAAUACUAGGAGGUUCUGGGCCAAAGCCUGUAAUCUCUCCAGAUCCGAAACCACAUCAUGUAAUAUUAGUUUUCUCCCAAACGUCGCUUGAACCGGCGACCUCUAAGCUUCGCCUAGGGUUUCAACAAAAUCUCUUGCAUUGGAUUGGAAUAAAACAUUGCUAGUUUAAUUCAUAUGGCUCCAUCUGAUUAAAAAGAAGAAGAAGAAGAAGCAAAUUACACACUUCAGUGAUCGUUACUUUUUUGGAUUCAUAUAACAUUGACAUCAUCUUUUAUAGCUAUGCAUAGGGAAAUGAAUUAUUCAUGUUCUUAACAUAUUUUUAAAUAACAUUGACAUCGUUUUAAUAUUUUGUGUAGUGAAACGCUAUAUUCUGAUUUUUAGCCAUUGCGCGAAGAGACGCCUCUAGCCCAUUUGAAAAAUAUUAUGGUCGUCAUUUCUUAUAGCAAAAUGACAUAUUAUUAUUUGUAUAGCUUUGUGUCAACCCAACAUUUUUCUUCUUCUGAGACUUAGCAUGCUUUAAAUCUAGUGCUUCUCCGACUUUUUAUACUAAAUUUAUUUGACCAAAUAGUGAAUUUGUAAGCGUCUUUUUCUGCUUGGAUCAUGGUACUGAUUUACACGUCCAUAUAAGAUAAUAGAUUCAAAAUUUCAAACACAUUUUCUUGUUAGGUCUUAGCUUGAUGUUCAAUGUUUGUGAACAAAUCUUGUGAAAGAGAAAAAAUGAAGAGUUGCAACCAUGUGAUCAUACAAGACCAUCUCAUCUGGGAACCAAAUUCAACCGAUUAGAAUCUUGAGAGCGCAAAUUACAAAAUCGUAAUGCGUUAAUCAGUUGUUUUAAAAAGAAGAUGUUCUUUUAUUUUAUUCCGUCUUAUAAAACAUCAAACGAAAAUGAGAUUUUGUUUUGUCUUUUUGUUCCUUGUGAUGAACGUUAGCUUAAGGAUCUAGAUACUUCGUGGGGACAAGUAGAAGCUCGUUUUUCUUGUUGACAGUGAGUCCGGGAGCUUCUUCCAUGUCGAUAUCUUCAACCUUCAUGCCUUCUGGUAACUUCCAGUCAAAAUGAUACAACAGAUUAGCCAGACCAAACUCUACCAGUGUUGUCCCCAUAUAAACGGCAGGACACAUUCUCCGGCCGCCCCCAAACGGUAACAGCUCAAAAUGCUGUCCUUUUGCAUCAAUGUUACUAUCCAUAAACCUCUCUGGAAGAAACACUUCAGGGUCUUUCCAGGUAUUGGGAUCACGCCCGAUAGCCCAGACAUUUACAUGAAGCCGUGUCUUGACAGGAAUCGUGUAGCCGUUGAUCUCAAAUUCAGACAUUGCUUCUCUUGGGAGCAAAAGAGGUGUUGUAGGAUGUAAUCUCCAUGUUUCUUUGAUAACCAUUUUGAGGUACUCGAGCUGAUCUGUGUCAUGGAAGCUGAUUCUUUCUUUGUUCUUGAUUUGGCUUCUGAUUUCAGAUUGAACUUUUUUCAUCACUCGCGGAUUCUUCGCGAGUUCUGCCAUCGCCCAUGUCAUGGUUAUUGCAGAAGUAUCGAUUCCUGCUAGCAGAACAUUCUGUAACAAGAACAUAUAAACAUUAAAUUUUCAAAUUUUUCUUACUAUUGAAUUGUGAAUCUAUGAUUUAGUUACCAUCAAGAUUGCUUUGAUAUGGUUUCUAGUGAGCU
rnacentral:lncRNA from 1 species